GGUACUUGGAUUAGUGGUUAGGCCAUGGCACUCCCAUCACCAUGGCCAGGGUUCAAUUCCUGGCCUGGGAACCA